rnacentral:rRNA from 1 species
AGUCACUGACAUUAGAUACCCGUGUAGUCCAGGGUGUAAACGCUGCAGACUUGGUGUUGGAGGCCCUUUGGGGGCAUUCAGUGCCGGAGAGAAGUUGUUAAGUCUGCUACUUGGGAGUACGUCCGCAAGGAUGAAACUUAAAGGAAUUGGCGGGGAGCACCGCAACGGGAGGAGCGUGCGGUUUAAUUGGAUUCAACACCGUAAACUCACCAGGGAAGACUGUUACAUGAAGGCCGAGAUGAAGACUCUGCUAGAUUUUCAG